GUUGACAAUGGAGGCUUGCUUUAACAGCGGAUGCUCGAUUAUUAAGUGGUGUGUGCACGGUUGACGGUGAUGGUGAAGCUUGAUUGUAUUGUUGACGGCUCGUGGGUGGCACAGUGUGCUCAUGGGUUGCGGUGUGUGCUCGUCACUACUACAAAAUUUGGAAAAAAAGACCCCUAAUUAAAGACCCGUUAUUUAACUAACAAGUCUAUUUGAUGUAAAAUACCCAAUUUUAAUUAUAAUUGGUCUCUUAUGUAUAUUAGGAAAAAAAAAGUAUAAAAUAAGAAACUCGUUGCCAAAUCUAACGGGUCUCUUCAUUAUAUUAGGUCCCACAUUUUUUAUAAGAGAAGAAAAUGUGAGAUCUGUUUAUAACUGACGGGUCUCUUACAUUAGCUCCUCGACUAUAAGUUCUCUGACCUUUGUAUGUGUUUGGUACUCCGCUUUUUUUUUUUUUUUUUUUUUAAUUAUCAUUAAAUCCCUUCAAACUCAUUCACCUCUCUCUCUCUCUACAAAACCUCCGCCCAACCUUAACCCCAAGUCCUCCUCUUGUUAUGAAACCACCGUCACUUCUUCUUCCCUUCUCCAUUUCAAAACAUAUCAACCAACAAUCGAUUCAAUAUCUCAACAAAAAUCAUUAAUCGCAUUCAAUUUUUCCAAACAUCGAACUUUAAUUCAAGGUCUACUUCAAUUUUUCAAAGACAGGAAGAAGCUUAACCUCCUAUGCUAAUAGAUCAGGAAAUUAUGAAGAAUGGUUGUCUAAUUGAUGUCCUAACUUGCAAUCAAAAUUGAGAGGAUGAACUGGACUUGCCCUCUAUACCUCGAGCAUCCCUUCGUACUUAACAGGAAUGAUUUAACGGAGCAGGUUUGCAUGAUUUCGUCCCACUAUAUUCUCAAACAAAGAAGAUAAUGGAGUAUUCAAGUCUAAUCUUAUUGCUAUAUUUAUAAUUGUUGGAAUGUUCUUUUUUUUUUUAAUUAUUUUUCUUUGUAGAAUGAGUUUUUUUUUGGUACCACUUUAGUAUGAAUUUAAUCCAUUGCUAAUUCUAAGGUCUUAAAUUGUAACUUACAAUUUAUGAAUUAUCUGGCAAUUUUAAUGUAGCAUAAAAACAAAAUUUUCAAAAUUCAAACAAAAACCUCCCAAACCACAUCAAAUAAAAAGAAAAAAUAAUUUUUUUUUUUAAAAAAAAGCUGGAGAACAAAGAGACCCGUUAUUUGACAUGAUAGGUCUGGUAGAUACCACUAAAAGACCCCAUAUCUCAAAUAACAAGUCUCUUUUCUAUCUAAAUUAUUAAUUUGAUCACUUAUAUAAUAGACUCGUUAUCACUUACAACAGGUUUCUUUGUUCUCACAAACAUACCCCCCUAUAGAACGGGUCUCUUUAUCAAACAGAACCCUGAGAUAGAGACCCGUUGUGAGGUGGUAGCUCUCAUGCAUAUUUUAAUGGGUCUCUUUGGAAAUUUUUGUAGUAGUGUGUGGAUGCUCGUGGAAACCGGAAAAAAAAAAAAUUCUCGGAGGCCGAUGAGACAUCGACGGAGGAUAUGAGUGGGAGAGAGGGGAUGUUCAACUCAGGCAUAUGAUUGGGAGAGAAAGGAAAGAAAGAAAGAAGAGAGGAGGACAGAGAGAUUUGAGAGGAAAAAAGAAUGAAGGAAAAGGAGAUCAGGAGGAUACAGAGAAAAGAGAGGAGAGAGAAAGAAGAGAGGGGAGGAGAAGAGAGAAUAUAGAUGAGAAUAGAGAGGGGUGGUGGUUGUAUGGUAUUUAGGGUUAGGGGAGUUAUGGGCUAUGGGUGGUUAGACUUCCUAUUUGUAACAAACAUUCUAUUGUCCGCUACAACUAAGAUGUAUUUGUAACCAACAUUCUGUUGUUUGUUACAACUAAGAUGUAUUUAUAACUGUAGGGAAUAUUUCAAGCGUUAAUCCCCAAGCUUAAACCCCACU